rnacentral:rRNA from 1 species
UACAGAGGUGGCAAGCGUUGUCCGGAAUUACUGGGCGUAAAGAGCGCGUAGGUGGCUAGAUAAGUCCGGUGUGAAAUCCUUCGGCUUAACCGGGGAAUGGCAUCGGGGACUGUAUAGCUAGAGGACGGAAGAGGAGAGCGGAAUUCCCGGUGUAGCGGUGAAAUGUGUAGAGAUCGGGAGGAACACCGGUGGCGAAGGCGGGUCUCUGGGCAUCUCCUGACGCUGAGGCGCGAAAGCGUGGGGAGCAAACGGG